AGAGUUUGAUCCUGGCUCAGGAUGAACGCUAGCUACAGGCUUAACACAUGCAAGUCGAGGGGCAGCAUAUCGGUAGCUUGCUACUGAUGAUGGCGACCGGCGCACGGGUGAGUAACGCGUAUCCAACCUUCCCCUUACUAGAGGAUAGCCCGGCGAAAGUCGGAUUAAUACUGUAUAUUGUUCAAUGCGGGCAUCUAAGUUGAAUGAAAGGUUUACCGGUAAGGGAUGGGGAUGCGUCUGAUUAGGUUGUUGGCGGGGUAACGGCCCACCAAGCCAUCGAUCAGUAGGGGUUCUGAGAGGAAGGUCCCCCACAUUGGAACUGAGACACGGUCCAAACUCCUACGGGAGGCAGCAGUGAGGAAUAUUGGUCAAUGGGCGAGAGCCUGAACCAGCCAAGUAGCGUGCAGGAAGACGGCCCUAUGGGUUGUAAACUGCUUUUAUACAGGGAUAAAGUGAGGGACGUGUCCCUUUUUGUAGGUACCGCAUGAAUAAGGACCGGCUAAUUCCGUGCCAGCAGCCGCGGUAAUACGGAAGGUCCGGGCGUUAUCCGGAUUUAUUGGGUUUAAAGGGAGCGCAGGCGGAGGCUUAAGCGUGACGUGAAAUGUAGCCGCUCAACGGCUGAGUUGCGUCGCGAACUGGGUUUCUUGAGUGAGUGCGACGUCAGCGGAAUUCGUGGUGUAGCGGUGAAAUGCUUAGAUAUCACGAAGAACCCCGAUUGCGAAGGCAGCUGACGAGCCCUUUACUGACGCUAAAGCUCGAAGGUGCGGGUAUCGAACAGGAUUAGAUACCCUGGUAGUCCGCACGGUAAACGAUGGAUGCCCGCUGUUGGCGAUAUACAGCCAGCGGCCAAGCGAAAGCGUUAAGCAAACCACCUGGGGAGUACGCCGGCAACGGNNAAACUCAAAGGAAUUGACGGGGGCCCGCACAAGCGGAGGAACAUGUGGUUUAAUUCGAUGAUACGCGAGGAACCUUACCCGGGCUUGAACUGCAGGGGAACGAUCCAGAGAUGGUGAGGUCAGCAAUGACCCCUGUGGAGGUGCUGCAUGGUUGUCGUCAGCUCGUGCC
rnacentral:rRNA from 1 species